CUCAGAUCCAUCCAUCAUCAGCUCCGUCCAACCUCAGAAUGUAAUGAAAUUGAAAACGAACAGUAAAGGGUCGUGUGUAGCAUCAUCAUCCUUGGACGAUGAAACAUUAGAAAAAGACAUUAAUCAUUUGUGCUGGAUGUCAUCUGGUGACAAGAAGGACUCCUCCCAUCAUCCCAAGAAAGUCCAGAGCAGAG